ACUUCUAUCACUCAAUACCAACACAUUAUUAUCAUUACCAGUCCUCAUUUUUGCUGCAUUUAAUCAAAGGUUACUGUUGUGUUAUGUUGUUAGGUAGGAGUUAGCUUACGUUUUUUCUAGCUAGCAAACGUUACAGGUGGUCACUGUCUGUUUGAAUUGGACUGAGAGAAGCUAGCUGUUGUGUCAGUGCAUGAAUUAAUAUUAAAGCCAAGGUGCUACUGACUAGCUAACUGCCCGGAUGCCCAUUAACAUUAUAACUCCUAUUGUGUGUGUGUGUGCAGACAGACAGCCUCAUCAUGGACAUAAGAUUGUUUUUUCGAAGAAAAGAGCCAGGUUCAGCUGAAUACAAUCUAUUUGUGUAUGAUUGUCAGUCCAAAGAGGAAGAGAUGAAAAAGGGGAAGGAGAGGAGAGAGUGCAAAGUCAGGAAGAACCAGGUAAGAAAACAAACAGAGAAUAGUGGCAAGCAAAACAGUAACUGUUAAGAUGACAAAGAAAAACAUCCUUUAACAAUAUAAUUUUACAUAUAUGUCGUGGAAGUUAUGUGUUCUCCCCACAGUAAAUGCUUUCCAGAAGCACACUUAACAGAUAUCAGUGGACUUCAUUCUAAACAGAACAUCAUUACAUUUUCCUAAUUAUCUAUUUGUUUUUCUAUUUGUUUAAUUUCACUAUAAAAGGAAGAGAACAAGGAGAGACUCUGGGAGAUGAGAGAGUGCAGACCAGGGAAAGAAAUGCCGUGCAUCACAUUUCAAAUAAAAGUCAAAAAAUAA